GGAGGGCGCUACCAGAGGGGUGGACUGGACCUGGCCGAAACCCAGGCGGCCCGAAAGGGUCAGGGGUUCGACUCCCACGCCCUCCG
rnacentral:tRNA from 1 species